CAGAGAAGGACUGUACAUGCAGGAAACAGACCUGCAGCUGCAGCUUUCUCAGCAAAGACGUCCUGAUAAACUCACUGCACGCUCGCUGCUCAGCACCAAACAGCAGACAGGCAACGUUAGCAACUGGGAAUCCAGAGUGGAACAUUUAACAGCAGAGCAGCAUCCUUGUUGGAAAGAGCACCAGCACUCAUUCACAGGGAGAGAAAUGAG